UACGUAGGGACCAAGCGUUGUUCGGAUUUACUGGGCGUAAAGGGCGCGUAGGCGGCGUGACAAGUCACUUGUGAAAUCUCUGAGCUUAACUCAGAACGGCCAAGUGAAACUGUUGUGCUAGAGUGCAGAAGGGGCAAUCGGAAUUCUUGGUGUAGCGGUGAAAUGCGUAGAUAUCAAGAGGAACACCUGAGGUGAAGACGGGUUGCUGGGCUGACACUGACGCUGAGGCGCGAAAGCCAGGGGGAGCAAAACGGGG
rnacentral:rRNA from 1 species